rnacentral:lncRNA from 10 species
AUGAUCUCGGCUCACUGCAAAGUCUGCCUCCCACGUUCAAGCAGUUAUCUGCCUCAGCCUCCCAAGUAGCUAAGAUUACAGGCGCCCGCCGCCACAGCCGGCUAAUUUUUUGUGUGUGUGUUUUAGUAGAGAGGAGGUUUCACCAUCUUAGCCAGGCUGGUCUUGAACUCCUGACCUCGUGAUCCACCCAUCUCAGCCUCCCAAAAUGCUGAGAUUACAGGCGUGAGCCGUUCUUUCGGUGAUGGGCUGACGAGGGCGCAGGUACGGGAGAGCGUCCUGAGAGCCCGGGACUCGGCGUCUCGCAGUUGGUCUCGUCCUCCCCCUCAACGUGUCUUCGCUGCCUCUGUACCUCUUCUCUAGCAGCUCUGGGACCGGGCAUAUCAGCAUGGUGGCCCGAUGCAGUGGCACAGCCUCGGUGGUCACUGGCUCCUGGAGACACAAGCAGAUCUCUGGCCUCAGGGAGCCCUACACACUGUUGGGAUUUGAAAGGCAUUCAUAUGUUUCCUUGUCCAGAAGUUAAUUUUAGGCCAUAAACCUGCAUGGGACAGACACACUGGCGUCUCUAGAUUGUAGAGAUGCUUGUUGGAUGGUUGAGACCCAAUCAUAGUUUGCAGGGUUGAAGGGGGGCUCAUUGCACCCUGAGAGACUGUGCACUGCUGUAAGGGCAGCUGGUCAGGCUGUGGGCGAUGGGUUUAUCAGCAGCAAGCGGGCGGGAGAGGGACGCAGGCGGACGCCUGACUUCGGUGCCUGGAGUGGCUCUUGGUUCCCUGGCUCCCAGCACCACUCCCACUCUCGUUUGGGGUAGGGUCUUCCGGCUUUUUGUCGGGGGGACCCUGUGACCCAAGAGGCUCAAGAAACUGCCCGCCCAGGUUAACAUGGGCUUGGCUGCAACUGCCUCCUGGAGGCCGGGAUGAAUUCACAGCCUACCA